CCACACGGGUGAAAAGCCCUUCGUGUGCACACAGUGUGGCCGCGCUUUCCGUGAGCGCCCCGCCCUCUUUCAUCACCAAAGGAUCCACACAGGAGAAAAGGCCCUGCGGAGGCCCAGGGGCAACAUGCACUCCCAGAUCGGGUCUCUUGGGGUAUCCUUAGAUGGUACACAUCCAAAGGCCACUUUAGACCCACCAGCAGUCCCAAAUAUUGCUGAGGCCUAAGGUCAUAGCUGUGCUCUUCUCUGGAAUCCCUUUCACUCACUGUGGAAGAGCCUGGAUUCUCAGCAAUUCACUGCUAUGUGAGCCAAAUACAAGGAGGACUUGCCAGUCAAGUCAGUUCCGUUUACAGCUAUAUCCUGAAAGAAGCUGGAGGAGAGGAAUCUGUAGAGUGCAUGUACCCCCUGUACUGGUGGGGCGGGCAGCGACUGUCCCCAGAACUAGUUAGUGGGUGACCCACAGACUUUGAUCUCCAUGUUGAUGCCACGUCAGUGUUUCCUGACUAUGGCUAUGAAAACAGGAAAAGAGCAUGCAGGAGGUGGGAGCUCUCAAACUAGCAGCUGAAGACACAGCCCCAGUGCAUUCCAUCUCCUUGGUGCAAGCCUCAGGCAAAUGAACAGUUUGUUUCGGAACCUGAGCUUUUUCCUCUGGGAAGUGAAGAGGGAAGGAGCUUUGGACCAGUGGAAGAUGAUGCUAUAAAAUAUUCUAGCAGCUGGAUAUAGUGACGUAUGCCUUUAAACCCAGGACUUGGGAGGCAAGGGCAGGUGUCUCUCUUGUGAGUUUAAAGCCAGCCUGGUCUACAUAGUGUGUUCCAGCUCCCAACUAGAGAGAGUUACACAGUGAAACCGUCUUUAAAAUAAUGUAAAUGUUCCAAUGGGAUCCAAAUAAAGUGCAAGUAGGCUCACAGCC
rnacentral:lncRNA from 1 species